UACGUAGGCGGGAAAUUAAGUCAGUAGUGAAAUCCCACAGCUUAACUGUGGAACUGUUAUUGAUACUGGUUUUCUUGAAUAUAGUUGAGGUAGGCGGAAUGUGUAAUGUAGCGGUGAAAUGCUUAGAUAUUACACAGAACACCGAUUGCGAAGGCAGCUUACUAAGCUAUGACUGACGCUGAGGUACGAAAGCGUGGGGAGCGAACAGGAUUAGAUACCCUGGUAGUCC
rnacentral:rRNA from 1 species